ACAUCCCUCACUUAGAAGUGAGAACCAAACCCUCGAAGCCUCUUCAUUACUCAACUAAGAACCCUAAACCUUCGCAGCCCUCUCAGCUCGCAGCCCUCUUCAUCACUGAGAAGUGAGAAUCCCUUCAUCUUUCAGCUCGUAGCCCCCUCUUAACUUGCAACACUCUAUCCUUCUCUUGCAAUCCUUUAUCCCACUUUUGUAACUCUUGGAAACUUCAAUCGGUGCUGCCUCCGUCGGCGCACCCUCCAUCGGUGGGCCCUCCGUUGGCAUUCAGUCUCGCUCGCAAGGCCUCCAUCGGCGCUCGCUCUCUCUCGCUCAAACCUUACCUCCAUCGACGCUGACUCAAUCAUCAUUGCCUCUCCCUCAAUCGUCGUUCCUCCCUCAAUCGGCGCUCAACCCUCAUCGUAACACAAGAAGAACAAGGAAAUGUUGCCAGAGAACUUCAAAGAACAGCUUGCUUUGUCUGUGAGAAGCAUCCAGUGGAGCUAUGCAAUAUUCUAGUCUACUUCAUCUACCCAACCCGGAUCCACCUUGUUCUUUUGCUAAUUAGAUUAAUAAUCAUGGGAGGAGAAGGUAACCAAAAAACUUUCACAAGAUACCGUUUUAGUAUCUGUGUUGAUUCCUGAACUGCUUUUUUUUUUUUAAGGAAAAAAAUAUCUGGUGUGAAUCUAAUAUUUUUUUAAAGAUAUUUGAGCAUUAGUUUUC